AGCCCAUUGGUCCAAUGGUAGGGCAUGAGAUUCCGGCUCUCGAGGUCGGGGUUCGAUUCCCCGGUGGGUUG
rnacentral:tRNA from 2 species